AGAGGGUGAUCGGGCCACAACUGGGAACUGAGACACGGGCCCAAGACUCCUAACGGGGAGGCAGCAGUAGGGAAUCUUCCGCCAAUGGACGAAAGUCGGACGGAGCAACGCCGCGUGAGUGAUGAAGGUUUUCGGAUCGUAAAACUCUGUUGUUAGGGAAGAACAAGUACCGUUCGAAUAGGGCGGUACNUUGACGGUACCUAACCAGAAAGCCACGGCUAACUACGUGCCAGCAGCCGCGGUAAUACGUAGGUGGCAAGCGUUGUCCGGAAUUAUUGGGCGUAAAGCGCGCGCAGGCGGUUUCUUAAGUCUGAUGUGAAAGCCCCCGGCUCAACCGGGGAGGGUCAUUGGAAACUGGGGAACUUGAGUGCAGAAGAGGAGAGUGGAAUUCCACGUGUAGCGGUGAAAUGCGUAGAGAUGUGGAGGAACACCAGUGGCGAAGGCGACUCUCUGGUCUGUAACUGACGCUGAGGCGCGAAAGCGUGGGGAGCG
rnacentral:rRNA from 1 species